rnacentral:rRNA from 1 species
GAUGAACGCUGGCGGCGUGCCUAAUACAUGCAAGUCGAGCGAACAGACGAGGAGCUUGCUCCUCUGACGUUAGCGGCGGACGGGUGAGUAACACGUGGAUAACCUACCUAUAAGACUGGGAUAACUUCGGGAAACCGGAGCUAAUACCGGAUAAUAUAUUGAACCGCAUGGUUCAAUAGUGAAAGACGGUUUUGCUGUCACUUAUAGAUGGAUCCGCGCCGCAUUAGCUAGUUGGUAAGGUAACGGCUUACCAAGGCAACGAUGCGUAGCCGACCUGAGAGGGUGAUAGGCCACACUGGAACUUAGACACGGUCCAUACUCCUACGGGAGGCAGCAGUAGCGAAUCUUCCGCAAUGGGCGAAAGCCUGACGGAGCAACGCCGCGUGAGUGAUGAAGGUCUUCGGAGCGUAAAAAUCUGUUAUUAGGGAAGAACAAAUGUGUAAGUAACUAUGCACGUCUUGACGGUACCUAAUCAGAAAGCCACGGCUAACUACGUG